UUUUGGGGACAUCGCAGCGGAUUUUGAACUUUGUAAAGAAGGGUAGGUAAGAAGACUCAUUUGUGAGAGGUGUUCUCUCAUUACUUCACUAUUUUUACUGAUUGUAGUUUACGUAUGAGUUGAUGUCGCGGCAGACAUAGCACUUCAAAGGAAUGGCAGCAGAAAAGCAUUUACGUUAAAUACUGCCGGAGCUUCGUCAAGAACUGAACAUAUGACAUACCAAUCAAGGAGGUAGUGUUGUAACACUGAUGAUUUAGUUUUUUAGGAGUUUGUUUUAAUAUUAUUUCUUUUUCUGUUUUAGUGUUGUGGCUGAAUUAUUUCCUGGCUGUUCGUUGUUUGACCGUCCCAGUCGAAAUAGUGAAUGUUAAAGGUUUGGUUUGGUUUCUUAAGCCAGCGGUAGCCACUGAGUUGACCUCACUGUGUGGAUGGCGGUGGUGAGGUGGCUGGGUUUGUGUGGUGGGUUGAUCACUUUAUUUUUUUUUUUUUUUUGGUUAUUUUUGUAGGCUUGCUGUGCGAUUGCUGUGAGCUUGACUGCUGUGAGAACACUCUUGCUCCUGUACCAUCUCUGUUUUCACUUUCUAGGUAACCUGUGG